rnacentral:lncRNA from 1 species
CCCUGCAGGACUCUAUCAAAGGGGCUUGACGGAACCAAUGAGUCACUCCAUCAAACCCUUUGCAGACUGUCACAGCAUUUCGAAUUCCUCCCGUGCAUGACCUCCUUCCCCUUUUAUCGCUCCUUUUGAAUGCAUUAAACCCCACGUAAGAACUGGAACAUAACAUUUUCCAGAGAGUCUAGGGACAGAGGCAGAAGAGAUCUAGUUGUGAAAGCUCAGCCGUGUAAAGCUCAUAAACCCUGGAUGGCUGCAAAAACUCUGGAACAUGAUUUUGAGCAGUUGGGCACCGAGGGAAGGAGGAAAAUAUCCUUGGGAACGGACACAAGAGAUUCCAAACAAGGACUGCUUCCUGCUUCCUAAUCCAGCAGAGGAGGUCCACAGACACUGUGUGUCUUGAUUGAAGCAACGCAUUGGAUAAAAGUGACCUGGCCUCUCAUGACAUUCCUAAGGGCCAGCAGCAAGACCUGGAAGACAGGAACCCUGGUAACAAAUGCCUCCGUGCAUCUGUAAACUGAGAAAAUCACCAGCUGCAAACCUCACAGAGUUGCUCUAAGAAGAAAAUGAGAUAACAGAGGUGAAACAGCUGAAAAAAUGGCAAGAACGGUACACACGUAGAGGGACGUGAGGCUUAAUAGUAGGCGAAGCGUGGAAUGGGCCCAUUUUCUUCCACUUCGAAGAGCAAAACUUUAGAUGACUGGAGAGAGAAAUUCCAAGCACACUUUCCUGUUGAUUGGAGCUGGCCAUUGUCAGGAAGGCAGCUUCAUGAAGCAGCGAGGGAGCUUCUGGUCAGGGCAGACACCCGGGCAGACAUGCCUACCCCAGCCUCUGGAUGUGGUCCGGUGAUUUCUGUUGCUGAAGGAGACUUGGACUGGAGGUGACUCAGUUCUCUCUGUCAUCUUAAUGUUCCCUGAUUUUGCUUUAGCAAUUUGAUAUGGAGAGAAUAUCUCUGGUCUGUUUGCUAUGUUUUCUUUUUAAUGUGUAUAUUUUAGUCCAUGCAUUUCAUGAUGGCUGUGAUAAAAGUGCUUUGUCUUCCUAUAAAUUAUGCAAAUAUAUGAU